rnacentral:SRP_RNA from 1 species
GCCGGGCGCGGUGGCGCGCGCCUGUAGUCCUAGCUACUCGGGAGGCUGAGGCAGGAGGAUCGCUUGAGUCCAGGAGUUCUGGGCUGCAGUGCGCUAUGCCGAUCGGGUGUCCGCACUAAGUUUGGCAUCAAUAUGGUGACCUCCCGGGAGCGGGGGACCACCAGGUUGCCUAAGGAGGGGUGAACCGGCCCAGGUCGGAAACGGAGCAGGUCAAAACUCCCGUGCUGAUCAAAACCUAGCUUUUUCUUACCCAUUAACUGUCAUAAGGGGGCAGUAAGAAAAGCAACAAUCCUACAGAGUUAACACUUGCAUUU